rnacentral:rRNA from 1 species
UACGGGAGGCAGCAGUGGGGAAUAUUGCACAAUGGGCGGAAGCUGAUGCAGCAACGCCGCGUGAGGGAUGACGGCUUUCGGGUUGUAAACCUCUUUUAGCAGGGAAGAAGCGAGAGUGACGGUACCUGCAGAAAAAGCACCGGCUAACUACGUGCCAGCAGCCGCGGUAAUACGUAGGGUGCAAGCGUUAUCCGGAAUUAUUGGGCGUAAAGAGCUCGUAGGCGGUCUGUCGCGUCUGCUGUGAAAUCCCGAGGCUCAACCUCGGGCUUGCAGUGGGUACGGGCAGACUAGAGUGCGGUAGGGGAGAUUGGAAUUCCUGGUGUAGCGGUGGAAUGCGCAGAUAUCAGGAGGAACACCGAUGGCGAAGGCAGAUCUCUGGGCCGUAACUGACGCUGAGGAGCGAAAGGGUGGGGAGCAAACAGGCUUAGAUACCCUGGUAGUCCACCCCGUAAACGUUGGGAACUAGUUGUGGGGUCCUUUCCACGGAUUCCGUGACGCAGCUAACGCAUUAAGUUCCCCGCCUGGGGAGUACGGCCGCAAGGCUAAAACUCAAAGGAAUUGACGGGGACCCGCACAAGCGGCGGAGCAUGCGGAUUAAUU